rnacentral:lncRNA from 10 species
UGGUGAGCUUGCCUGGGGAAUGCGUGGGUGUUUGGAACCCUUGCCUUCCUGCCUAAAGAGUUUCCUGCAAUCAGUUAAGAAAAGCCCCACCACUCCCCCUCCGUCAAUUAACUAGAUAAAUACAUAAAGUCAAGAGGAAACAGUAUUUGUGAUGGUAAAAGGAAUUUUGAUUCACAGUUGGAAUCAAACCUCGUUGACACUGAUCAUGACCUCACCUCUAGCCUGUGUGGUGUUGGGGAGCCAGGGUUAAAGGAAUGUGGAGGCAGCAGGACAUCCUGGAGAGAAUGAAGACUUCAGAGUCAGACAGAGCUAGAUUUGAAGCCAGCUGGCGAACCUCUGUUUUCUCUUCUGUAAAAUGGGUAACUAUAGCACCUACCUGACAGGUUAGCAUCUACAUGAUGGAUAGGUUUCUGUGCAUGGUACAUGGCUGGAGUCCAACAAGAAUUUAUUUCAAGUCUGUCUUUUUCCACUGGAGAUCAUCACUGAGUUGCGGUCUCCUGAGCAGAAAGGGGGUUGGCA